rnacentral:lncRNA from 1 species
GUGCUGUUCUUCAAAAGGAACGUGCAGUCAUGGCGUGCGUAAUUUAGAUUUUGUCGAAUUAGUGUCCGACAGUUUCGUCUCUGGAAGUCUUUAUGGGUGAACGCCGGACAAGUGUUUUUUCCUGUGACAACACAGAUAUGUGGAUCCAUUGUGUGCGGAAUGCUGUGCAAGCCUGCGCCUUGUCGGCGAUGCAGCCGUUUGAAGGAACGCUCUCCCAUUGGUCACGGGUACGUGAAUCUCACGGAAAAAAUUUAGGAUUGCCGCCAAACAGAAAACAAUUUGAGUGCUGUGUAAUGUUUGUAAAAUAAACAUUUGAUGGAGUA